rnacentral:ribozyme from 1 species
ACAGUAAGGAAGUACACGUAUACGAGAGGAGAGAGUGAUAAAAGAGAAGAAAAAAAGAUAGAAGAAAAGAUAAUAAUUCGCUCCUUUUAUCCUCUCUUCAAUAUGAUUACGCGCCCCUCUUCCUCUUACUUCACUCCUUUUC